rnacentral:rRNA from 1 species
UGAGGAAUAUUGGGCAAUGGAGGGAACUCUGACCCAGCCAUGCCGCGUGAGUGAAGAAGGUUUUCGAAUUGUAAAGCUCUUUCGGAUGUGAAGAUGAUGACGGUAGCAUCUAAAGAAGCCCCGGCAAACUUCGUGCCAGCAGCCGCGGUAAUACGAAGGGGGCAAGCGUUGUUCGGAAUUACUGGGCGUAAAGGGUGUGUAGGUGGACGUGUAAGAUAGCGGUGAAAUACCGGGGCUCAACCUCGGAAUUGCCAUUAUAACUAUGCGUCUAGAAUUAUAGAGAGGAUAGCGGAAUACCCAGUGUAGAGGUGAAAUUCGUAGAUAUUGGGUAGAACACCAGUGGCGAAGGCGGCUAUCUGGCUAUAUAUUGACACUGAGGCACGAAAGCAUGGGGAUCAAACAGGAUUAGAUACCC